CCUCCGGGUGGCAGCAGUGGGGAAUAUUGGGCAAUGGGCGCAAGCCUGACCCAGCAACGCCGCGUGAAGGAAGAAGGCCUUCGGGUUGUACACUUCUUUUGUCAGGGAAGAAGAAAGUGACGGUACCUGACGAAUAAGCCACGGCUAACUACGUGCCAGCAGCCGCGGUAAUACGUAGGUGGCAAGCGUUAUCCGGAUUUACUGGGUGUAAAGGGCGUGUAGGCGGGAGAGCAAGUCAGACGUGAAAUUCCAGGGCUCAACCUUGGAACUGCGUUUGAAACUGUUCUUCUUGAGUGAUGGAGAGGCAGGCGGAAUUCCGGGUGUAGCGGUGAAAUGCGUAGAUAUACGGAGGAACACCAGUGGCGAAGGCGGCCUGCUGGACAUUAACUGACGCUGAGGCGCGAAAGCGUGGGGAGCAAACAGGAUUAGAUACCCGAGUAGUC
rnacentral:rRNA from 1 species